AUCGUGAACAGGUUCUGAGCGCGCCGUCCGCGCCCACCUGACCGCUGCUCGCUACGUUUUGUUAGCC
rnacentral:sRNA from 1 species